rnacentral:rRNA from 1 species
GACCUGCGGAGGGAUCAUUACUGAGUGAGGGCCUUCGGGCUCGACCUCCAACCCUUUGUGAACACAACUUGUUGCUUCGGGGGCGACCCUGCCGUUUCGACGGCGAGCGCCCCCGGAGGCCUUCAAACACUGCAUCUUUGCGUCGGAGUUUAAGUAAAUUAAACAAAACUUUCAACAACGGAUCUCUUGGUUCUGGCAUCGAUGAAGAACGCAGCGAAAUGCGAUAAGUAAUGUGAAUUGCAGAAUUCAGUGAAUCAUCGAAUCUUUGAACGCACAUUGCGCCCCUUGGUAUUCCGAGGGGCAUGCCUGUUCGAGCGUCAUUUCACCACUCAAGCCUCGCUUGGUAUUGGGCGCCGCGGUGUUCCGCGCGCCUCAAAGUCUCCGGCUGAGCUGUCCGUCUCUAAGCGUUGUGAUUUCAUUAAUCGCUUCGGAGCGCGGGCGGUCGCGGCCGUUAAAUCUUUCACAAGGUUGACCUCGGAUCAGGUAGGGAUACCCGCUGAACUUAAGCAUAUCAAUAA